UGGGUGAUGGAUCUGGAUUCUGACGGAUAAGAAGGACAUUCCUCCAAGUGAGUAAGGUCCAAAGUUCUCAGUGCAGGAAGCAUCAGCUUGGGACAGGCCCUGUGCUGCGUGCUAAGGAUGAAGAACCAAAGAGCUUAUCCUACCGGCAAGAUGUCUGUCUCAGUGAGCAAAACACUUUGCUUCAUGAACCUGGUGAGCCCCCAGAAAGGUGCACCGCAAGUGCCUGCUCUUCUGACCUACAAUGCUCCUUCCUUUGCUGUGUCGGCUGGUCUUCCAUCAGGAUGGAAAGCUGUUGAUGGCCAUGGUGGAGGGAGUGAAAGCAUGGCGAGAGAGGGGUGUGGCUAACAGGUUGUGCACUUGCUACCUGCCCUGGAGGACCUCCGACACAAGAGCAGAAAACAGAUACAUCUUUUGCAGUCCUGAGAGAAAAGAGCCUCUUUGGAAUCCUCUGGGGAGCUUCCUCAAGGGCAAACUAGAAUUCCCAUGAUAUAGCCCUGCAAAUACCUGCCUAUCAUGUCUCUCUCCCACGCCUUCCUGUUUCCCUAACAAUACUCUGAACCAUUUUUCUUAAAAGAGAAACCAUUC